CCCAAGUGCAAUGCCAGUUUCAGGCUAUAAUUUCCUUGUUACUAGAGAUUCUGGUUUGGCCUCUGGGUUCCAGAUGGUUUUUUGUUUAAUUUGAGAUCAGUAAUCUCUGCCAGCCCAGGUCACAGAAUUAGUAGCACACUAUUCCUUGAGCAGAGGGUGAGGAUGGGGGAACUUGCUCAGAGCAAACAAGCUUAAGAGCUGUAGGAACAAACAUGUAACAGAGAAGAAAGAUUUUUUAAAUAAUAGAUGUUAAAAAAUGAAUCCAAACAAGAGAAAUAUACCCACUGAAUAGGGAUAAAUGUAAUGUCUACCCUGGACUGUGAUAUAUGUCUGCUCAGAGACCAGCUCGACAAAAGGCCAAAUUUUCUUAAAAGCAUGUUAAAAUAUUAAUAGAUAUCUGAAACAGUUUUCUUGCAACUGCUGCCAGUCUUCAGAAAGAUUACAUCAGACUGGAAAAACCUAGGAGAGACGCUGUAAUGUCUUAGCCGUGGUGACCUACUGGGGCAUCUUAUAACCCACUUCAACGAGGCAGGCUGCGGUCUGGCGGGUGAGCCCCCAGCAGGCUCCAUCCGUGUGAAUCACAGUUAUUGAGAAAUUUCAUGUUUGACCUCAGGAGCUGUGAUUCACUCUCUCCAGCAGGUUCUGUGAUACUUUACAUGGCCUACAAAAGCCUGUCUGGUUCAGCUCCAACCUCCCCCACUGGCUUCUCCCACCUGGCACCCUCUCAGCUCCAGACCCACUGAUUUUCCUUUCAGACACUCAUACUCACCUAUUUCUCACCCACUGCAGGACCUUCAGCCUGCACUUGCCUCUUUCUAGAACAUUCUUUCCUCCCCUCUUAAUGCCCUUUGUUAUCUCCUACUCAUCAAGAUCUCUGCUAGAGAGUCCUUCUCUCUACAGCAUCUCCAGGCAUUUCCUGUAAAAUAUAUGCGGGACCAUGGUUGCCUCACCUUUGCUAUUUUCAUGUUAGCUGUUUUGAAAGAAUAGGAGUGGUUAUAGGAUAUCUCUAGCCCUUCUUAUAAACUCUGUAAGGGGAGGGUUUACAUCUCUUUUCCCUCAUCCUUGCCUUAAUAGCACCUAGUAGCAUAGGGAACUGCUAUGGUUUGAAUGUUUGUCCUCUCCAAAACUCAUAUUGAAGCCUAAUCCCCAAUGUGGUAGUAUUGACAGGUGGGACCUUUAAGUGGUGAUUGGUUCAAG
rnacentral:lncRNA from 1 species